AGCCGGUGUGCCGGGCACAGCGAGGUCUCCAAAACCACGCGGGGCGGGUUCGACUCCUGCAUCGGCUG
rnacentral:tRNA from 1 species